ACGAACAUUCACUGUUGUGGGACCUGUCGAACGCAAACUGCACAUCAUCAAUAUAUCACCCAUAGUGGCUCAAUUUACUUGCCAACAAAUUUCGUUACAGGAACAUUUUUCUGUCUCAAUUCUCCAGUAUUAUAGCUCAAGAUAUUAACAAUUAUUGAGCUUCUAACAAAUUUGCAAGGAAAACCUUUGCAGAAAUUAUAUAUAUUUGCAUAAAAAGAUCCUACUUAUUAAACCAAACAUCAAAACAAGAAAAACAGACUCCAAAGACAACUUCAUUUCUUCCUCGGUUAUUAAACUAGACCAUUAGCCAAGCAAAAUGCUUCAGAUAUGAUUCCAAAUCGCCAAAAAACAAUAUAUUAAAAGCAACUCAAAAUAGUGAAAUGGCAUUCUUCGCGAGUCAACAGAUUCUGAACUAACUUCUAAUUUUCCACUUCCAAAAACAAAACCCAUCCACCAAAACAGUGAGCGAGUAUACCCAUUUACCUUUUUUUUCUCUCAUGUUCUCAUCAGACAACCAGAGAACGCAAACAAAAAUCAACGUCAAAGACAGUAACAAAAAGAAGAGAGAUAAGAGACAGAAAACAGAUAGAACAGACCAUCGCCUUCUUGGGUCAAAG
rnacentral:misc_RNA from 1 species